rnacentral:rRNA from 1 species
UGGGGAAUUUUUCGCAAUGGGGGAAACCCUGACGAAGCAACGCCGCGUGGAGGAUGAAGGCCUUCGGGUCGUAAACUCCUGUCGACCGGGAAGAAUGCACCUGACCUAAUACGUCGGCGUGUUGACUGUACCGGUGGAGGAAGCCACGGCUACCUCUGUGCCAGCAGCCGCGGUAAUACAGAGGUGGCAAGCGUUGUUCGGAAUUACUGGGCGUAAAGGGCGCGUAGGCGGCCCGUCAAGUCCCGUGUGAAAGCCCCCGGCUCAACCGGGGAACGGCGCGGGAAACUAGCAGGCUUGAGUUCGGGAGAGGGAAGCGGAAUUCCGGGUGUAGCGGUGAAAUGCGCAGAUAUCCGGAGGAACACCGGUGGCGAAGGCGGCUUCCUGGACCGACACUGACGCUGAGGCGCGAAAGCUAGGGGAGCAAAC